GACGAACGCUGGCGGCGUGCUUAACACAUGCAAGUCGAACGGAAAGGCCCUGCUUGCCGGGUACUCGAGUGGCGAACGGGUGAGUAACACGUGGGUGAUCUGCCCUGCACUUCGGGAUAAGCCUGGGAAACUGGGUCUAAUACCGGAUAGGAGCCAUUUUUAGUGUGAUGGUUGGAAAGUUUUUUUCGGUGUAGGAUGAGCUCGCGGCCUAUCAGCUUGUUGGUGGGGUAAUGGCCUACCAAGGCGGCGACGGGUAGCCGGCCUGAGAGGGUGGACGGCCACAUUGGGACUGAGAUACGGCCCAGACUCCUACGGGAGGCAGCAGUGGGGAAUAUUGCACAAUGGGCGCAAGCCUGAUGCAGCGACGCCGCGUGGGGGAUGACGGCCUUCGGGUUGGAAACUCCUUUCGCUAGGGACGAAGCUUUUUGUGACGGUACCUAGAUAAGAAGCACCGGCUAACUACGUG
rnacentral:rRNA from 1 species